AUAUUUUAACUAUUAACUUUACCAUACCAAUUUCCUGUUAGAAGAGUCCUUGAAAUGUGAAAAAAUGAGUUUUAACUCUUUAAAGUAUGGUUACUAUUCGUUUGGUGUGGCAUUUGCCGCUUCCGGUGUAUUUUUUUUAGGUGUGCACCCCAUAUAUCAUUUCAGAAAAGCCCAUAAUUACCUGGAGAUGAAAGGCUAUCCCCAUCCUAUUCAUAAAACUUUCCGACCAGCAGGUCAUUUAGAAGGUAUGAAGAAAAAGAUAGAUCAGUGGCCACCUACCAAAUGAAUAAAGGACAAUUUGAAAAUUUGUAAAAGGUUUCCAUCAAUAUGUGAUUAUGAAUAGACUGUAAUAAAAAAGAAAAACUGUUUGUACAACAUCUA